UAACUAUUUACCAAUCACUUAAUCCUGCAUUAGUUAUUAGCUCAUCAAUGAAUCUCAAUUCAAUCUCUAGGCAUACAUGUUGUAAGCCACAUCACAAGAGAUAAUAACAUACAUGCAUAAGAAUAAUCAUAUGGCCCAUAACGAUAUUAGCCGACAUAGGCCAAUUUACAUGACUAAUACUACCUUAAUAACAAGCCAAUGCCUUUGGCUAAAUCAUAAUAUUACAUACUCACAUUAAAACCCUAUACAUGCCAUAGACUAGAAUCACUUGAGUUUACUUACGCCGAUAGCGUUAACUCGACAGUGUGAUAAUAUCUCUAACGGCCUUCAACCCGAGCUAACCUGGAAACUCUAGAAAACAUGGGAAAGAAGGGGGGUAAGCUUUCGCUUAGUAAGUUCAUAUGAAAACAAUAAGCAACUCAUUAACUUGUUUUAUCAAUGUUUACAACAUAUUCUCAAGUUCACUGCAAGCUGUCUUCCUGAGCAAUAGUCACUAAAUUAUUUAUAUCUGGAGCUACGAAACUCCAAAUUAAGUUCCGUUAAUUUUUCCUGAAACUAGACUCAUUUAUCUUUCUUUCAUAAAAUUUCCAGAAUUUUUGACUUAGCCAAUUAGUACAGUUUACUCCUCAAGUUUGCUCCUGAUUCACUGUCUCACAGUUUCAACCCUUCUGCACUAAAGUUCAAUUAUCUCAUAGUACAGGAUUCGAAUAAUGUUCUCGUCUAUUUAUCUUGAAAUUAUACUCAUAUGUAUACUUACUAAUUUUUUUCUAGAAUUUUUGGUCAAGCCAUUUAGUACAGUUUAUUAGUUAAAGUCUCCCCUGUUUCAGGGUAUGACCACUCUGACCCUUGUGUACUACGAACCGAAUUUCUCCCUGUACAAAAUUCCAACGACGAUGCCAUUUUUUCCCUUAAAAAUAGACUCAAUAAGGAAUCCAUGCAAGUAAGGUAUGACUCUUAAUAAUUUUUUUACAAUUUAUGAUGAAUUUCUAAAGUUAGAAUAGGGGAUCUCGAAUUCAUUCAGAUCCUGUUUUACAAGAAUUCAAAUAUCACACAAUAUAGAAUUCUUUUUCUUCCUCUGUUUCUUUCAUGUGAAAAUAGACUCAUUAAGCUUUAAUCUCAUUUUUUAUUCUGCCUCUAACUAAUUUUCCACUAUUUUUAGUGUAUUUUCAAAGUUACAUUACUAUAGUAACUCAAAUUUGUCAAUGCUAAGUUACUCAUUCAUGAUCAUUGUUCACAAAAUUAAUACAACAUCAUUUCAUCCAUCAUGGUAAGAACACAUAUUAUGCAUCAUAGAUCAUCACAUAUCAAGGCAUUCUCAUAGGCUUAAUAUACAUACUUGCACAACUCGUAACAUAACUCAAGUGUAUACUCACCAAUGACUUACCUCGUUGGGACCAUCAUCAACUCUUUCCUUGGAUUACCCGUUGAACACUUGGAAUACUAAUUGGAUACUCGGAAAAGCCUUUGCACAUAAGUGCCUCAAUUGUAGCUAAAGCUACCUCAUAUCUCAUGACAUUUCAAUGCUCACUCUCGAGCUAGUCAUCUAGACUUAUAAUUUCUAGUGACAUGUCACUCGUAUCCUAUUCUAUUUCUAAGGUUCAAACGGGAUUUUUCCUCAUCUAUUAAGGCUUUGUCUUAUCAUAUUUCUAUUAAUCACAUACACUUAAUAUUUGUACAAUUCAUGUAAUGAUAACAUUUAAAUACAUGUAUAGCAUGGUAUUGUUUACAUACAAACUUACCUCGAUACCACAAAGGUGAAAAGGACAUAAUCAUCCCUUAAUCGAUUUCUUUCCGUUCUAGGUUCAAAUCUCGAUUUUCUUGAU
rnacentral:lncRNA from 1 species